rnacentral:tRNA from 5 species
GGGCCUCUAGCUCAAUGGUAGAGCAGUUGACUCUUAAUCAAUUGGUUCAGGGUUCGAGUCCCUGGGGGCCCACCA